rnacentral:rRNA from 1 species
GACGUAGGGCGCGAGCGUUGUCCGGAUUUAUUGGGCGUAAAGAGCUCGUAGGCGGCUUGUUGCGUCGGCUGUGAAAACCCGCAGCUUAACUGUGGGCUUGCGGUCGAUACGGGCAUCACUGGAGUUCGGCAGGGGAGACUGGAAUUCCUGGUGUAGCGGUGAAAUGCGCAGAUAUCAGGAGGAACACCGGUGGCGAAGGCGGGUCUCUGGGCCGAUACUGACGCUGAGGAGCGAAAGCGUGGGGAGCGAACAGG